CUGCCACUUUUUGGCAAGAGUGCGCUGAUUUACAAAGGGCAUCCUUCAAUUAUUUAAGGAGCAGUCAGUAGUGCCAUAACUUUAAGUAUGAAUCAAGUGGCAUGACUGAAAAAUUUGUCACAGUGUGUUAGAUCAAUGGUAAUUACCUUACUGACAUGAGUACUGUUAUUAUUUUACAGGGCUGCAAACAGGAUCAUGGACGUGAGGAAACACAAACUGCACUGUGAUCAAUACUCUCUGAAAUAUGACUCUCUGUGGCCCAAAAUGGAGUUUUCGAGCCAGGCAAACCAUUACAGGCUGAUUCUCUCUCUGCCUUUAGAUGGAUACCCUGAAGUAAAACACAGCAGCAAUUGGUCAACUUGUUUCAGGCUUUGAACAGGCAAAUAGUCACUUAUUAUUUUUAAGGACAACUGUGUGCAAAUAAAAAGUCUGGGCAGCCAAACUCCAGAUGAAGAGAAGUGCUGUGGAAGGAAGAAACCUCAGCCUGCUUUGCCUCCUGUGCCAACAAGACCACCGCAUCCCACUGGUAUUAAAGACCAACAAAUGCAAGUUGUUCAUCCAAGCCUCCUGCAUUAAAACCUGUUCCCUGGUUCCAGGUGGCACUGCGAUAUCCUCAUGGAUGACACAGAGCUUCCUGCCUCAACUUAAACCUCCUGAACCUCAACACACCCUUGGUUCAAAAUAGCUGGUGUUCAGCUCUGAGCUGGUUCAGUGUGUGGUAUACAUGUAUGUAUGUCAUUCUGCUGCUAGGCUGAGGUGGACAUUUGGGCACAGCAAGGCUCAGAGUUAAAUAUGUGCAAUAUCAUGCAGCUCCCAUGAGGCAUCUCCUAAGCCAAGCUCCACUGAAAUCCUUAAAAAGAAUGUAUUGACUUCAGCAGACUCUGCAACAGACCCACUUGGAGAGCUCAGGUCUCCAGUGCCAUGUGGUUAUAUCUGUCCCCAGAACCAAAUUCACUGGGAAUCAGAUCAAAUCAAACACAUCUCGUAGUUAUCUGCGAUUUUCUGUGACUAUUAACUUUUGUCCUGGUGGAGAUCUAUGCAUGCUGCACUGUGACAUUCAGUGGUAUGCUGCACUGGGGCUGGAAAGAUGUAGAAUAAAAAAAGGGCAAAUAUAGCCUAAAUCA
rnacentral:lncRNA from 1 species